CAACGGUUAUUAUUAUCAAGCCCAGUAUUUCGGAGUCAUUUAGCACGGAAGUCGGAGCUGUGGAUGUGACAAAGAGACCGACAUAAGGUUUAGCCAAGCAAAACUCCUUCGACAAAAUUCUUCACGAUCCUAUUAUAAGCGUCACCGACGAUCGUGUUGACGAUGAUCAACAACUGAUCCUCGGCGGUGAAAAAGUGACGUUCCGUUGCCUGCAAUGGACUGCCAUUCUUUCGCCAUGAUAAUUUCGGACGUGGCGAGCCGCCGGCCAUGCAUUCAAGCACGAUCGAGCGACCUACCAUGAUUUCUUUAUUCUCCAUCGGUUUUACAAAGGAUGGUGCUUCUGAAAAGGAAAAAUGAAAUGGAGCGGUGCGUCAGAGGUGCUGGUUGCACGACAGAUCAGUGUCACGUUGUCCCCUUUAAUGCUCAUUUGGCUCAUGGGUUCAUGAAUGAUUCGUGGUUUUGGAUAUUCAUCUGUAAUAGUA